AUCACUUCUCAGCCUUUUGGCUAAGAUCAAGUAUAGUAUCUGUUCUUACCAGAAAACAAGGGAAAUAAAAUGUUAUGCUCAGAAGCCAGUCCCCUAACUGGCUUUUAACUUAGUUCAAGCAACCCCAGACUUCUAAAUAAUUCUACCAAUCUCGCCCCUACCCAUUGUGUGUGGGUUGCCUUUA
ensembl:snRNA U2 U2 spliceosomal RNA